GCUUAACUGACUGAGCCGCCCAGGUGCCCCGGAGGGUAAACUUUUAAUAUGAGUAUGCUGAUUGCAUUGAUGCCCACAAUAGCAAAACCUUGGCAACUCCCUGCACAUCUGCUCGUGGAAACUCAUUAAAUACAUUAAGGUGAUUUGUAGGACGGAGUACGACGCAACCGUAUGCAGGUCAAGCCGGCUCCAGGCAAACCACCACGAAUCUCGGGGUAAAAGCUUAGCUGGAGAGAGUAAUAAGGCAGCCUCACCAAUGCCGACAUGGAGCCAUCUCCAGAAUACCUUGUCGGUGGUGAACCAUUAGUGUGUAAGACCACGUGUGCAGAAGGUCGCAAAGAAAAACACGCACCCACGUUUCCUGGUGGAAGAGGCUCCGAGGCAGGCGUCUCCACACCUGGUAACGGGUCGGUGUCUCUUGGAUGUUGUAAAGUUUUGUGCCGUUGUGUGUAUUAUUCACUCGAAACAAUUAAAUAUCAAUUUACUUAGCAAUAGA